ACUUGUCUGCGCCAUUAAUGACGGCGCCAUGCCGUACUCCACUAUAUAAAUCGGGGAAGGCAACAGUGCAAGGGAGGCUCUCCCCCCACUUCUCAACUCCAAAAAUACAGGCUCGCUCUCUCUCUCUCUCGAUCGAUCGAUCGAGCUCUCUGUCUUCAUUUCACUGUUGCCCAGUCACCUCUCUGACUUGACCGUCGGAGGGUCCCCGCCGGAGCCGCUUCCGGUCAGUG
rnacentral:lncRNA from 1 species